rnacentral:rRNA from 1 species
GACGAACGCUGGCGGCGUGCUGAACACAUGCAAGUCGAACGGUAAGGCCCUGCUUUUGUGGGGUGCGUGAGGGGCGAACGGGUGAGUAACACGUGAGUAACCUGCCCUUGACGUUGGUAUAACUUCAGGUAACUGGGGCUAAUACCGGAUAGGAGCUCCUGCUGCAUGUUGGGGGUGGGAAAGUUUCGGCGGUUGGGGAUGGACUCGCGGCGUAUCAGCUUGUUGGUGGGGUAGUGGCUUACCAAGGCUUUGACGGGUAGCCGGCCUGAGAGGGUGACCGGCCACAUUGGGACUAAGGACCGGCCCAGAACCCUACGGGAGGCAGAAGUGGGGAAUAGUGCACAAUAAGAGGAAGCCUGAUCCAGCAACGCCGCGUGCGGGAUAACGGCCUUCGGGUUGUCAACCGCUUUCGCCUGUGACGCAGCGAGAGUGACGGUCAUGGGUAAAGAAGCACCGGCUCACUACGUG